GUGGCGACAUCAUGUAUUCGCCGGAGAUGGCAAGUAAACUAGUGGUUCUGUGCGCAAUACUACACAAUAUCGCGGUAAGGAGUAGCGUAGAGCUUCCUCAGACAGAGGAAUUGCCUGAUGAGGAGCCAGGGGUUGUUCGACACUUCGGUGGGGGGAGUGUUACACGGAGGGGGAGCCAAGUCAGGGCAAGCAUUGUUGCUGAAUAUUUCAGCUGAAUGAUCACACAAACUGUGGACGAGAACAACGGCAGACCUCUCAGCCCCCUUCCCCUUCCCAGUCCCCCUCCCCUUCUCACUCCCCCUCCCCUUCUCACUCCCCCUCCCCUUCGCAGUCCUCCUCAGCUUCCCAGUCCCCCUCAGCUACCCAGUCCCCCUCAGCUUCCCAGUCCCCCUCAGCUUCCCAGUCCCCCUCAGCUUCCCAGGCCCACUCCACUUUCCACUCCCCUUCUCACACCACCUCUCUAUCUCUUUCUGUGACCCCUUCUCCUCCUUCCCAUACCCCUUCUCCUUCAACUUCAAACUCACCUUCUCAGCCCCCCUCACCCUCUAUUGGCUUAACUUUCUCUCCGCCCCCCUCGCCCUCUCAAUCAGACCCACCCUCUGAAAUUACAUCCCCAAUCCAGCCUCCUUCCCCCAUCCAGCCUCCUUCCCCCAUCCCUCCUCCUUCCCCAAUCCCUCCUCCUUCCCCAAUCCCUCCUCCUUCCCCAUCCAGCCGCCUUCCCCACCCAGUGAGUGGGCAGAAGAAGCCCCUGCUGAAUUAACUGUCAACCAUCAUGUUGCAGAGGAAAAUGUUGCCGUUGGAGAUCCCACAUCUUUUGCGGACAUUAUUGGCAACAUGAGGAUACAUCUCCAGGCCUUGCUGGGUCUUGUUGACCAAAU